UGGGGCGGGUGGAGCUGCAGCUCCAGGCCCCCCCGUGAAAAUAGGCAGAGACAGCGAUGGUAGACAUCGGUGACAAGAAAAACUAUUUUUCUGUCACCGUCAGAGUCCGUCUGAAGAACCGUGCACCUUCUCCCUCGCACCCCGGCCUCCACCCCACCUAGUGGCCAUAUACACUACAGCGGCACCAUCUCCGUGACGCCAGUGCAGUAGUAUGCACACUCACUGUGCGCCUUUGCCGGAUCUAGUGCUACUGUUAGGCUGUCCGCGGGUGGAAACAAAACAGGAGGAGCCGGAACAGCCUCUCCCCGCCACUCGCGUUUCCUCCCGGUCCUCUGCUGCCUCCUCCCUCCCUGACUGGCCUCGGCGUUGGGAUCCGCUGCAGCCGGCGCCACUGACUAACGGACCUGCUUUUGCUGAAGUUACAGAGCCGCCUGCAGGGGAAAAGAGAGAAGAAGAAGAGCUGCUGAGAGGUAUGCAGCAAAGGCAGCAGCAGAGGCAGGGAGACAACAGCAACAAGCACCUGGCUGUGCAGAGGAUGACAGACCUGGGAUCAGUGCCCAGACAGACAACAGGAUGAGUCAAAUAACACACAAACCACAGGCUAACCAGCAACCAGUAGUCAAUCUCAGCCAACACAAGAAAAAGAGAAAAAAAGACAACAACCCCCUUUUGGAAGGAGGGAGCUGGACAUUCUAGUCCCUCAAGCCAUGGACCAAAUCCAUCAUGGUCCUCGAAAAAUAUGGGAGCUGCCACAAGGGAGCGCAUCUGGCAAGAAAUAAUUGAUGCAGUCAAUGUUGAGGCGCCCAUUGUCCGCACAUCGCAAAAAAUUAGAAGACGAUGGGCUAACUUCAAAUGCCGGCUAAAGAUGAAGAUGGGUGCCCGGUGGCGCCAUGUGAGGAUGACGAGUGGGGGCAGACUCCCUGAGAACUUAGCAUACACUGCCUUGGAGGAGAUGGCCUUGAGCUGUGUGGCAGAUGAGGAGGUGGUAGGUGUGUUGGAGAUGGACACCGACAUGCCUGCCAUAGAAACUCUGCAUGCUGAGCAAGAGCCAGAAGUUCAGCUCACACAGCCUGGGAUGCGUGUCUCUGAAAGUAAGUCUGAGGGGGACCCACCAUCACCACCCCAGAUGGUGGACACUCAUGCCCCCCUCCCACACACACACUAACAACUGGGAGCUCCUGCUUGCUAUUGAACAGCAGGGAAACCAUACAGAAGAGUUCCAGCAGCAGGUGCUACUCAUGUUUCGUGAGCUGAACUCCACCUUCAGGAGCAGCAUGCAUGAGAUCCUCUCCCUUUUAGGCCCCAUUGCUCAAGGGAUGCAGGCCAUUGCAUCCCUCCAGGCACAAAGUCUCAGGGAUUCUACAUCAUCUGCCCCAUCCCCCAGCCCUGGCCAGGAACAACAUCUCUCUGGCCAGGGCACGCACAGGUCAUCUCGCAGAAGCCACUUCCCCCGAGCCUCCCAUCAGCUAGCCAAAAAAAGAGGCUGAUGUUGAUUUUUCUUGCCAGAGGUGCGUCCACAAAUUGGUAGUCCCAUUUUUCUUUUGGCUUGAGUGACUAGAAAAUGCAGCUCCUUCCUGCCAAAUUGGUAUUGUGUUGGCUGAGAUUGGCUACCGGGCACUGUGAUGUACUUCUCUUCAUGGCCAGGUGUUUGCUGAUGUCUUUAUUUGACAAAUAUAUGCCUCUGCUUAUUUUUCCUUUAAUAAUAAAACAUGUUUACCAAAAUA